rnacentral:rRNA from 1 species
GACGAACGCUGGCGGCGUGCUUAACACAUGCAAGUCGAACGAUGAAGCCUAGCUUGCUAGGUGGAUUAGUGGCGAACGGGUGAGUAAUACGUGAGUAACCUACCUUUAACUCUGGGAUAAGCCUGGGAAACUGGGUCUAAUACCGGAUACGACCAAUCUCCGCAUGGGGUGUUGGUGGAAAGCGUUAUGUAGUGGUUAUAGAUGGGCUCACGGCCUAUCAGCUUGUUGGUGAGGUAACGGCUCACCAAGGCGACGACGGGUAGCCGGCCUGAGAGGGUGACCGGCCACACUGGGACUGAGACACGGCCCAGACUCCUACGGGAGGCAGCAGUGGGGAAUAUUGCACAAUGGGCGCAAGCCUGAUGCAGCGACGCCGCGUGAGGGAUGACGGCCUUCGGGUUGUAAACCUCUGUUAGCAGGGAAGAAGAGAGAUUGACGGUACCUGCAGAGAAAGCGCCGGCUAACUACGUGCCAGCAGCCGCGGUAAUACGUAGGGCGCGAGCGUUGUCCGGAAUUAUUGGGCGUAAAGAGCUUGUAGGGCGGUUUGUCGCGUCUGCUGUGAAAGGCCGGAGCUUAACUCCGUGUAUUGCAGUGGGUACGGGCAGACUAGAGUGCAGUAGGGGAGACUGGAAUUCCUGGUGUAGCGGUGGAAUGCGCAGAUAUCAGGAGGAACACCGAUGGCGAAGGCAGGUCCCUGGGCUGUAACUGACGCUGAGAAGCGAAAGCAUGGGGAGCGAACAGGAUUAGAUACCCUGGUAGUCCAUGCCGUAAACGUUGGGCACUAGGUGUGGGGAACAUUCCACGUUUUCCGCGCCGUAGCUAACGCAUUAAGUGCCCCGCCUGGGGAGUACGGCCGCAAGGCUAAAACUCAAAGAAAUUGACGGGGGCCCGCACAAGCGGCGGAGCAUGCGGAUUAAUUCGAUGCAACGCGAAGAACCUUACCAAGGCUUGACAUAUACUGGACCGCAUCAGAGAUGGUGUUUCCCUUCGGGGCUGGUAUACAGGUGGUGCAUGGUUGUCGUCAGCUCGUGUCGUGAGAUGUUGGGUUAAGUCCCGCAACGAGCGCAACCCUCGUUCUAUGUUGCCAGCACGUUAUGGUGGGGACUCAUAGGAGACUGCCGGGGUCAACUCGGAGGAAGGUGGGGAUGACGUCAAAUCAUCAUGCCCCUUAUGUCUUGGGCUUCACGCAUGCUACAAUGGCCGGUACAGAGGGUUGCGAUACUGUGAGGUGGAGCUAAUCCCUAAAAGCCGGUCUCAGUCCGGAUUGGGGUCUGCAACUCGACCCCAUGAAGUCGGAGUCGCUAGUAAUCGCAGAUCAGCAACGCUGCGGUGAAUACGUUCCCGGGCCU